rnacentral:sRNA from 1 species
ACGGCCCCCUGUAGUCUGUACCUCCUAAGAUGGCAGGAUUUAGCUUGCGACCUGCUCAAGAUGGCCACAGAAACACUUCCGUUUCCCGAGGUACCUAGUGUCUGAGCGGCACAGACGAGAUCUCGAUCGAAGGCGAGAUGGCGGACGUGCUAGAUCUUCACGAGGCUGGGGGCGAAGAUUUCGCCAUGGAUGAGGAUGGGGACGAGAGCAUUCACAAACUGAAAGAAAAAGCGAAGAAACGGAAGGGUCGCGGCUUUGGCUCCGGUGAGUGUGGGGAAAAUGGGGUAGAGUGGCCUAGUAGGGCAGGAGCUACGGGUUUUGGAGUCCCCACCCAACUCAUAGGAACAAUGGGAGAAAGUGGGAGUUUUCGGUGAUCUCGUGUAUGUCCCUUAUAGAAGAGGGGUCCCGAGCGCGGAUGCGUGAGGAUUAUGACAGCGUGGAGCAGGAUGGCGAUGAACCCGGACC